rnacentral:ncRNA from 20 species
AUCGUUCAUCUGCUGCUAUCAGCAGACGGAAGUAGGGAAAAAUAUCCCGAAGGAACGCGCC